rnacentral:rRNA from 1 species
GACGAACGCUGGCGGCGUGCUUAACACAUGCCAGUCGAACGGAAAGGCCCUGCUUUUGUGGGGUGCUCGAGUGGCGAACGGGUGAGUAACACGUGAGUAACCUGCCCUUGACUUUGGGAUAACUUCAGGAAACUGGGGCUAAUACCGGAUAGGAGCUCCUGCUGCAUGGUGGGGGUUGGAAAGUUUCGGCGGUUGGGGAUGGACUCGCGGCUUAUCAGCUUGUUGGUGGGGUAGUGGCUUACCAAGGCUUUGACGGGUAGCCGGCCUGAGAGGGUGACCGGCCACAUUGGGACUGAGAUACGGCCCAGACUCCUACGGGAGGCAGCAGUGGGGAAUAUUGCACAAUGGGCGGAAGCCUGAUGCAGCAACGCCGCGUGCGGGAUGACGGCCUUCGGGUUAUAAACCGCUUUCGCCUGUGACGAAGCGUGAGUGACGGUAAUGGGUAAAGAAGCACCGGCUAACUACGUG